AAGGAUCAUUACCGUGGGGGUGGGCAGGUUGCACGGCUCCGCCUUGCAGUCCCUCCACCCGCCGUUGGGAUAGCACCCUUGCUUUUUCCCCGAGUACCGUACGUUUUCCCUGGCGGGUCCGCCCGCCACCGGGACACCUGAAAACCCUUGCAGUCUAGCAGUACCUGUCUGAGAAGCGAAGCAAUAUAUUAAAACUUUCAACAACGGAUCUCUUGGUUCUG
rnacentral:misc_RNA from 1 species